CGUAUCAGAAGUGCGAAUGCUGACAUGAGUAACGAUAAAGGGGGUGAAAAACCUCCUCGCCGGAAGACCAAGGGUUCCUGUCCAACGUUAAUCGGGGCAGGGUAAGUCGACCCCUAAGGCGAGGCCGAAAGGCGUAGUCGAUGGGAAACGGGUUAAUAUUCCCGUACUUCUUACAAUUGCGAUGGGGGGACGGAGAAGGCUAGGUGGGCCUGGCGACGGUUGUCCAGGUUCAAGUGCGUAGGCUUAAGAGUUAGGUAAAUCCGGCUCUUUCUAAGGCUGAGACACGACGUCGAGCACCUACGGGUGUGAAGUCAUUGAUGCCAUGCUUCCAGGAAAAGCCUCUAAGCUUCAGAUUGUAAGGAAUCGUACCCCAAACCGACACAGGUGGUCGGGUAGAGAAUACCAAGGCGCUUGAGAGAACUCGGGUGAAGGAACUAGGCAAAAUGGUACCGUAACUUCGGGAGAAGGUACGCUCUCGACGGUGAAGUCCCUCGCGGAUGGAGCUAUUGAGAGUCGCAGAUACCAGGUGGCUGCAACUGUUUAUUAAAAACACAGCACUGUGCAAAAUCGUAAGAUGACGUAUACGGUGUGACGCCUGCCCGGUGCCGGAAGGUUAAUUGAUGGGGUUAGACUUCGGUCGAAGCUCUUGAUCGAAGCCCCGGUAAACGGCGGCCGUAACUAUAACGGUCCUAAGGUAGCGAAAUUCCUUGUCGGGUAAGUUCCGACCUGCACGAAUGGCGUAAUGAUGGCCACGCUGUCUCCACCCGAGACUCAGUGAAAUUGAAAUCGCUGUGAAGAUGCAGUGUACCCGCGGCUAGACGGAAAGACCCCGUGAACCUUUACUACAGCUUGGCACUGAACAUUGACCCUACAUGUGUAGGAUAGGUGGGAGGCUUUGAAGCACGUACGCCAGUAUGUGUGGAGCCGUCCUUGAAAUACCACCCUUGUAGUGUUGAUGUUCUAACGUCGACCCCUUAUCGGGGUUGCGGACAGUGCCUGGUGGGUAGUUUGACUGGGGCGGUCUCCUCCCAAAGAGUAACGGAGGAGCACGAAGGUGGGCUAAUCACGGUUGGACAUCGUGAGGUUAGUGCAAUGGCAUAAGCCCGCUUGACUGCGAGAAUGACAAUUCGAGCAGGUGCGAAAGCAGGUCAUAGUGAUCCGGUGGUUCUGAAUGGAAGGGCCAUCGCUCAACGGAUAAAAGGUACUCCGGGGAUAACAGGCUGAUACCGCCCAAGAGUUCAUAUCGACGGCGGUGUUUGGCACCUCGAUGUCGGCUCAUCACAUCCUGGGGCUGAAGUCGGUCCCAAGGGUAUGGCUGUUCGCCAUUUAAAGUGGUACGCGAGCUGGGUUUAGAACGUCGUGAGACAGUUCGGUCCCUAUCUGCCGUGGGCGUUGGAAGAUUGAAGGGGGCUGCUCCUAGUACGAGAGGACCGGAGUGGACGAACCUCUGGUGUUCGGGUUGUGUCGCCAGACGCAUUGCCCGGUAGCUAAGUUCGGAAUCGAUAACCGCUGAAAGCAUCUAAGCGGGAAGCGAGCCCUGAGAUGAGUCUUCCCUGAUACUUUAAGUAUCCUAAAGGGUUGUCGGAGACUACGACGUUGAUAGGUCAGGUGUGUAAGUGCUGUGAGGCAUUGAGCUAACUGAUACUAAUUGCCCGUGAGGCUUAACCAUACAACACCCAAGGGGUUU
rnacentral:rRNA from 1 species